rnacentral:rRNA from 1 species
AACGAACGCUGGCGGCAUGCCUAACACAUGCAAGUCGAACGAGACCUUCGGGUCUAGUGGCGCACGGGUGCGUAACGCGUGGGAACCUGCCCUUAGGUUCGGAAUAACUCCCCGAAAGGGGUGCUAAUACCGGAUAAUGUCUUCGGACCAAAGAUUUAUCGCCUUUGGAUGGGCCCGCGUUGGAUUAGCUAGUUGGUAGUGUAAAAGCCUACCAAGGCGACGAUCCAUAGCUGGUCUGAGAGGAUGAUCAGCCACACUGGGACUGAGACACGGCCCAGACUCCUACGGGAGGCAGCAGUGGGGAAUAUUGGAAAAUGGGCGAAAGCCUGAUCCAGCAAUGCCGCGUGAGUGAUGAAGGCCUUAGGGUUGUAAAGCUCUUUUACCCGGGAUGAUAAUGACAGUACCGGGAGAAUAAGCUCCGGCUAACUCCGUG